AACGAACGCUGGCGGCAGGUCUUAGGCAUGCAAGUCGAACGGGUGUAGCAAUACAUCAGUGGCGCACGAGUGAGUAACGCGUGGGAAUUUGCCCAUCGGUGGGGAAUAACGUUUGGAAACGAACGCUAAUACCGCAUACGUCGAGAAAUCGAGAAAGAUUUAUCGGAGAUGGAUGUGCCCGCGUUGGAUUAGCUUGUUGGUGGGGUAACGGCCUACCAAGGCGAUGAUCCAUAGCUGGUCUGAGAGGACGAUCAGCCACGCUGGAACUGAGACACGGUCCAGACUCCUACGGGAGGCAGCGGCUAAGAAUAUUGGGCAAUGGGGGAAACCCUGACCCAGCCAUGCCGCGUGAAUGAAGAAGGCCUUCGGGUUGUAAAGUUCUUUUAGUCGUGAAGAUGAUGACAGUAGCGACAGAAAAAGCACCGGCUAACUUCGUGCCAGCCGCCGCGGUAA
rnacentral:rRNA from 1 species